rnacentral:rRNA from 1 species
AAGCGGAGGAAAAGAAACCACCAGGGAUUGCCCUAGUAACGGCGAGUGAAGCGGCAACAGCUCAAAUUUGAAAUCUGGCUCUUUUAGAGUCCGAGUUGUAAUUUGCAGAGGGCGCUUUGGCUUUGGCAGCGGUCCAAGUUCCUUGGAACAGGACGUCACAGAGGGUGAGAAUCCCGUACGUGGUCGCUGGCUAUUGCCGUGUAAAGCCCCUUCGACGAGUCGAGUUGUUUGGGAAUGCAGCUCUAAAUGGGAGGUACAUUUCUUCUAAAGCUAAAUAUUGGCCAGAGACCGAUAGCGCACAAGUAGAGUGAUCGAAAGAUGAAAAGCACUUUGGAAAGAGAGUCAAACAGCACGUGAAAUUGUUGAAAGGGAAGCGCUUGCAGCCAGACUUGCUUACAGUUGCUCAUCCGGGUUUCUACCCGGUGCACUCUUCUGUAGGCAGGCCAGCAUCAGUUUGGGCGGUAGGAUAAAGGUCUCUGUCACGUACCUCCUUUCGGGGAGGCCUUAUAGGGGAGACGACAUACUACCAGCCUGGACUGAGGUCCGCGCAUCUGCUAGGAUGCUGGCGUAAUGGCUGUAAGCGGCCCGUCUUGAAACACGGACCAAGGAGUCUAACAUCUAUGCGAGUGUUUGGGUGUCAAGCCCGAGCGCGUAAUGAAAGUGAACGGAGGUGGGAACCCGCAAGGGUGCACCAUCGACCGAUCCUGAUGUCUUCGGAAGGAUUUGAGUAAGAGCAUGGCUGUUGGGACCCGAAAGAUGGUGAACUAUGCUUGAAUAGGGUGAAGCCAGAGGAAACUCUGGUGGAGGCUCGCAGCGGUUCUGACGUGCAAAUCGAUCGUCAAAUUUGGGCAUAGGGGCGAAAGACUAAUCGAGAUCUGUGGCC